UCUUCCCGGAGGGCUCAGAGUUCGUCCCCUUUUCGCGAUUGGGAACGUGGACACGCCGGAGCCUGGAUGCAGAAGGGCGCGCGGGAACAGGGAGCUGGUGCGCGAGCCGCAGCCCAGCGUCCAGGCCGCCCCACUCUCUGCUGAUCCAAAGGACUAGGGAAACCCUGCGCGCCGACGGUGGCCUGGACGUUGGCGCGGGCCCUGGCGCUAAAAAACGGAUCCCAUUUCCAGAAAGGCGGGCCGGGUAUCCCGCUCCUGCCUCCUGGAGAAUUAGCUCGGCGGAGGUCGACCAGCCGGGUAGGGAGGGAGGGAUGGAGGGACAGGCCUAGGGUCGACCAGCCGGAUAGGGAGUAGCUUCUGGGAGCUCCCUUGCCUACGGAGGGCCGGUGAGGCUGCCCUCAGAGCGCCGCCAGUUAGCUGCAGCUGAGCCAGAAGCGUCCCCACUGGCUUACCCGAUAGUGGGAUUUUACACGGUGUCGGCUAAGGGUGGCUUUGUGAGAAGACCAUUUCAGAAGAAGAAACGGGGCUCUGGCUGGUGGGGUAGAAACCCCUAUGGAAUGAAAAGUACUCCCAGUCUCUUUGAGGAAGAUUGCAAAGUAAGGGCCUUUCUGCGGAUCUUUCCCUAGAAACCCCGCUGGGCUCCGGC
ensembl:processed_transcript 2810410L24Rik RIKEN cDNA 2810410L24 gene